UACGAAGGGUGCAAGCGUUACUCGGAAUUACUGGGCGUAAAGCGUGCGUAGGUGGUUCGUUAAGUCCGAUGUGAAAGCCCUGGGCUCAACCUGGGAAUGGCAUUGGAUACUGGCGGGCUAGAGUGCGGUAGAGGAUGGCGGAAUUCCCGGUGUAGCAGUGAAAUGCGUAGAGAUCGGGAGGAACAUCCGUGGCGAAGGCGGUUCUCUGGGACGGUACUGACGCUGAGACGCGAAAGCGUGGGGAGCGAACAGG
rnacentral:rRNA from 1 species